UCCUCUCUCUCCUCCUCGACGCAGGAGAAGUAGUGGUGUUGAAGCGGAGCAAGGAGAGCAGUUCAGUGAUCAAAAGGAAGAGGAGGAGGAGGAGGAGAAAGUAGGAGAAGAGAACACAACAAUGGCUUCAUUGUGCUCCAUCCCCACCCUCUCCAAACCCCUCGCCCCAAAGCCCAAAGCUGCCACCUUUAGGCCUCGCUUCUCCAUCUCCUGCUCUGCUUCUUUACCCCAACAACAACAGCCACAACAAGGAGAUGACUCCGUCUCUUCUUCUCUCAAGACCUUCUCCGCCGCCUUGGCGCUCUCCUCCCUCCUCCUCUCCUCCGCCGCCGCCCCUCCCCCCGCUGUCGCUGACAUCUCCGGCCUCACCCCGUGCAAGGAGUCCAAGGCCUUCGCGAAGCGGGAGAAGCAAUCCAUCAAGAAGCUGGAAGCCUCGCUGAAAAAGUACGCGCCCGACUCCGCGCCGGCUCUCGCCAUCAAGGCCUCCAUCGAGAAGACCAAGCGCCGGUUCGAGAACUAUGGCAAGUUCGGCCUCCUGUGCGGCUCCGACGGGCUGCCCCAUCUCAUCGUCAACGGCGACCAGCGGCACUGGGGCGAGUUCAUCACCCCCGGCCUGCUCUUCCUCUACAUCGCUGGUUGGAUCGGGUGGGUCGGGCGGAGCUACCUGAUCGCCAUCCGGGACGACAAGAAACCCACCAUGAAGGAGAUCAUCAUCGACGUGCCGCUCGCCACCAGGCUGCUCUGGAGGGGCUUCAUCUGGCCAGUGGCCGCGUACAGGGAGCUGGUCAACGGGGAGCUCAUCGCCAAAGACGUGUGAUCCGCAGGUGAAGGUGAGCUGAAACGCCCACAUCGCCAUAACAAAGAUGGUUCCUUUUUCUUGUGCUGCUACGAAUAAUACUGUUGCUUUUACACUGUGAUAACUCAUGCUAUUAAAGUUUGUUCUUUAAUUUAGAUCGACUGUAACUGAUGCUUUAGUUUGCUCGUUCUUAGUGCAUUGUUACUCAUCCUAUUUCUUAUUCUAAGCUUGGAAUCAAUUCCAAGUUUGUUCUUUUGGUUUGACUUGUGCUUAUGAAGCCGAGUUCAUCUUGGGCAUAUGUCUCUUAUUCUAAGAUAGGUGCAGAAAGAAAGGGAAGGUGCUCAAUCUGUGUUCAUAACACAAAGUCUAUGCUUAGUGUGGUGUACUUAAGAUUUGUAUAUCUACUUGUAAUUCAUGUUUGGACUUGUCAUAUUUCAGAAGCCAACUGAUCUAUGUUUCAGACCUUAAUCUCAAGCUGCUCUUCUCAGAAUCUGUACUGGAGUCUUAUGCACUGAUCUAUGUGUUCAUAACACAUCGUUUGACAUGGGAGUAGCAGCUAAAAUCUUAAUGUUGUAUGA